AUGGUAAAACGCAAGAUUCAGGCCCUAGAGCAGCAGGCGGAAGAGGCAAAGACCGCGCGCAGGGCCUGCAGCGGCAGCUGGCUACGGGCGCGAGCGAGCGACUCGAGGAAGCUGGAGGUGAUGUGGCUGUCCUCAACCGACGCCUCCAGCUCGUUGAGGAGGAGUUGGAUGGGGCUCGGAACGAGUGGUCACGGCCCUGCAGAAGCUGGAGGAGGCGGGAACGGCUGCAGAUGAGCGUGAGGGAGGAAUGAAGGUGACAGAAGACCGGGCCAUGACGGAUGAAGAGAAGAUGGAGAUUCGGGAGACGCAGCUCCAAGGGGCCAGGCACACUCUGGAAGAAGCUGACCGCAAGUGCAAGGAGGUCGCUCGAAAGCUGGCCAUCCUGGAGGGCAAACUGGCCAGGGAAGAGGAGCGUGUGGAGCUGUACGAACGGAAAUGUGGUGACCUGGCAGAAGAGCUCAAGAAUGUCAUUAACUAUCUGAAAUCUUCGGAGGCUGCAUCUGAAAAGUAUUCUGAGAAGGAGGACAAAUAUGAAGAAAAAAUUAAACUUCUGUCUGGCAAACUGAAGGAGGCUGAGAACCGUGCUAAAUUUGCAGAGAGAAUGGUUGCAAAACUGGAAGAGACAAUUGAUGACCUGGAAGAGAAACUUGACCAGGCCAAAGAAGAGAGCGUGGCCUUCUAUCAGACACUGGCUCAGGCACAAAACGAACUUGACUGUAUGUAACCAAAACGGAAGAGUCUUGUUCCAGUAGAAACUCUGGAGC